rnacentral:lncRNA from 1 species
CCAUGGGAAGACUCAACAUCAAGGAUGAGGUCAAGUGCAUAGUCAUAGUAGGGAACUUGACUGCUCAAUCCACAUAGGUUAAAAUCAUCCUGAAUGUAAUCAUCAUCAACUUCACAGAAGAACUCAUUGCCACGCAGGUUACAAAACCAAGAAAUCCAUGAAGUAUCAUCCCCAUCAGAACCACUAACAUCAGACUCUUCACUGUCCGUUUCAGAUUCCUCUACAAAGUAGAUAAACAUGAGAAUUUAGUCCUGUCGAUUUUGAAAUUCAAUGAUAGUGCGUUAUGGGUUGACAUAGUAUGUCAUNUGCUUUCGCUGGCAAGAGAUUUCAAACUUCAAACCUCCAAUAUGAAAGUCUCAAGCCAAAACCACUGGGCCACCCCGAAGAGUAUGCUUAAAUGUUGUUAGCUGGCGAUUCAUGCCUAUAUUCUUGUUAAUUGCUCAUUCCCUUAUAUCUCCACACAAAAUGCAUAGAUUAAAGAAGGUGUCUUUUCAAGCAACACUAGCCACUACUCUAUCGAGGGCAGUCAAUAAGACUUAUUGCGUACACAUCAACUUUCACAUGCGCUACACAGCACUUUUUCGGUACUAGUUCGGAUUCCGGUACAGACCUGUAGUGAUCCAAGUCUUUCAAUAGUGAGUUGUUUCCCUUCUACCACAGUGGUCAUUACAAGCUUUUAUGUCAUUAUGUUGUUGACGUUUUCAUUGUCAAACUAUGUACAAGUUGAGACAUUUGUACCUUUCUCUUUAGUUUGCUCAUGACAAUGCGACACAAGUUAAAGGGAAUUUAGUUAUGUAUUUCCAAUUUGGCUUCCAUGUAUUAAAUCUCUUCUCAUUUAUGAUUUUGUCGAAUGUGCGCGUAAUUAGAUUUGGGGUAAUAAAUGCUUUGGUUUUGCCUAGCUUGAGAUAGUCAGUCAUGACUAAGGGAGGAUUUGGGUCAUGAAACCUAGAACAUAUCAAGUAAAGUUGUUUCCAUUCACCAGAUACUAAUUUGUGGAAAUAGUCCAUAGGAAACCCAAAAAAAGAGGGGGAAGUGAAACCCAAUAGUUUCAAAGACAAGAAAAUUAUAUCCUUCAACUGAAAAGAUAAGUCAAGCAAUUCUCUGGAAUUGCAUAACAAAAUAUGAAGUCACUAAGCAAGAGAAAAAAUAUGUACCAUGGGAAGACUCAACAUCAAGGAUGAGGUCAAGUGCAUAGUCAUAGUAGGGAACUUGACUGCUCAAUCCACAUAGGUUAAAAUCAUCCUGAAUGUAAUCAUCAUCAACUUCACAGAAGAACUCAUUGCCACGCAGGUUACAAAACCAAGAAAUCCAUGAAGUAUCAUCCCCAUCAGAACCACUAACAUCAGACUCUUCACUGUCCGUUUCAGAUUCCUC